rnacentral:rRNA from 1 species
CCAUGAAGCUGGAUUCGCUAGUAAUCGCGCAUCAGCCACGGCGCGGUGAAUACGUUCCCGGGCCUUGUACACACCGCCCGUCAAGCCAUGGAAGCCGGGAGUGCCUGAAGUGCGUGAGCGCAAGCAGCGCCCUAAGGUAAAACCGGUGACUGGGGCUAAGUCGUAACAAGGUAAC